UGCGUAGGGUGCGAGCGUUGUCCGGAAUUACUGGGCGUAAAGAGCUCGUAGGUGGUUUGUCGCGUUGUUCGUGAAAUCUCACGGCUUAACUGUGAGCGUGCGGGCGAUACGGGCAGACUUGAGUACUGCAGGGGAGACUGGAAUUCCUGGUGUAGCGGUGGAAUGCGCAGAUAUCAGGAGGAACACCGGUGGCGAAGGCGGGUCUCUGGGCAGUAACUGACGCUGAGGAGCGAAAGCGUGGGGAGCGAACAGG
rnacentral:rRNA from 1 species